UUCGACUGGUUUACCAAAAACAUAGCCAAUAGAAAAAAUUAUUAAUGGUGAUGCCUGCUCAAUGAUUGAACAAUAACCACUAAAAACAAUUAAAUAGCUGCGGUAACACUUGACCGUACAAAGGUAGCAUAAUAAAUCGCCUACUAAUUAUAGGAUAGCAUGAAGGUAAAACGAAGAUCUUACUGUCUCAAGACCACAAAUUUAAAAUAGAAUGUGUGUGUAAAUCCACACAAAGACGGCAAGACGAUAAGACCCUAAGAACUUUACCCAAAGUUUUAAUAAAUACAAUCCUUAAACUCUAAGUUUCGUUGGGGCAACGAUCUUUAAAAAAGUAACUAAGAUUAACUAAUCAACCAAAACCAAUAAAUAUGAAAAUAAAAUAAAGAUAAGACCCAUUAAAAAUAAAAACUUAAUGAUAAUAUAAUAAAAGUUCCUUAGGGAUAACAGCGUUAUAUCGUUUCAAGAGAACCAUCCAAACGAUGUUUGCGACCUCGAU
rnacentral:rRNA from 1 species